UUGUUUGUUUCUCAAACAUAGAGCUGCCAAAUGCUGUUAAAUCAGCUGAGAGAAAUCACGGGCAUUCAGGACCCUUCCUUCCUUCAAGAAGCUCUGAAGGCCAGUAAUGGUGACAUCACUCUGGCAGUCAGUCUUCUCACAGAUGAAAGAGUGAAGGAGCCCAGUCAAGACACUGUUGCUACAGAACCAUCUGAAGUAGAGCGGAGUGCUGCCAACAAA